rnacentral:rRNA from 1 species
UGGCGUGACGCUGAUAAGUACAUGCAAGUCGAGCGAAUGGAUUAAGAGCUUGCUCUUAUGAAGUUAGCGGCGGACGGGUGAGUAACACGUGGGUAACCUGCCCAUAAGACUGGGAUAACUCCGGGAAACCGGGGCUAAUACCGGAUAACAUUUUGAACCGCAUGGUUCGAAAUUGAAAGGCGGCUUCGGCUGUCACUUAUGGAUGGACCCGCGUCGCAUUAGCUAGUUGGUGAGGUAACGGCUCACCAAGGCAACGAUGCGUAGCCGACCUGAGAGGGUGAUCGGCCACACUGGGACUGAGACACGGCCCAGACUCCUACGGGAGGCAGCAGUAGGGAAUCUUCCGCAAUGGACGAAAGUCUGACGGAGCAACGCCGCGUGAGUGAUGAAGGCUUUCGGGUCGUAAAACUCUGUUGUUAGGGAAGAACAAGUGCUAGUUGAAUAAGCUGGCACCUUGACGGUACCUAACCAGAAAGCCACGGCUAACUACGUGCCAGCAGCCGCGGUAAUACGUAGGUGGCAAGCGUUAUCCGGAAUUAUUGGGCGUAAAGCGCGCGCAGGUGGUUUCUUAAGUCUGAUGUGAAAGCCCACGGCUCAACCGUGGAGGGUCAUUGGAAACUGGGAGACUUGAGUGCAGAAGAGGAAAGUGGAAUUCCAUGUGUAGCGGUGAAAUGCGUAGAGAUAUGGAGGAACACCAGUGGCGAAGGCGACUUUCUGGUCUGUAACUGACACUGAGGCGCGAAAGCGUGGGGAGCAAACAGGAUUAGAUACCCUGGUAGUCCACGCCGUAAACGAUGAGUGCUAAGUGUUAGAGGGUUUCCGCCCUUUAGUGCUGAAGUUAACGCAUUAAGCACUCCGCCUGGGGAGUACGGCCGCAAGGCUGAAACUCAAAGGAAUUGACGGGGGCCCGCACAAGCGGUGGAGCAUGUGGUUUUAUUCGAAGCAACGCGAAGAACCCUUACCAGGUCUUGACAUCCUCUGAAAACUCUAGAGAUAGGGCUUCUUCUUCGGGAGCAGAGUGACAGGUGGUGCAUGGUUGUCGUCAGCUCGUGUCGUGAGAUUGUUGGGUUAAGUCCCGCAACGAGCGCAACCCUUGAUCUUAGUUGCCAUCAUUAGUGGGCACUCUAAGUGACUGCCGUGACAACCGAAGUGUCGUGAGAUGUUGGGUUAAGUCCCGCAACGAGCGCAACCCUUGAUCUUAGUUGCCAUCAUUAAGUUGGGCACUCUAAGGUGACUGCCGGUGACAAACCGGAGGAAGGUGGGGAUGACGUCAAAUCAUCAUGCCCCUUAUGACCUGGGCUACACACGUGCUACAAUGGACGGUACAAAGAGCUGCAAGACCGCGAGGUGGAGCUAAUCUCAUAAAACCGUUCUCAGUUCGGAUUGUAGGCUGCAACUCGCCUACAUGAAGCUGGAAUCGCUAGUAAUCGCGGAUCAGCAUGCCGCGGUGAAUACGUUCC